GACGAACGCUGGCGGCGUGCCUAAUACAUGCAAGUUGAGCGAUGAAGCUUGGUGCUUGCACUUAUUUGAAGAGCAGCGAACGGGUGAGUAACGCGUGGGUAAUCUGCCUUUGAGCGGGGGACAACAUUUGGAAACGAAUGCUAAUACCGCAUAACAGCUUUAAACAUAAGUUUUAAGCUUGAAAGAUGCAAUUGCAUCACUCAAAGAUGAUCCCGCGUUGUAUUAGCUAGUUGGUGAGGUAAAGGCUCACCAAGGCGAUGAUACAUAGCCGACCUGAGAGGGUGAUCGGCCACAUUGGGACUGGAACACGGCCCAAACUCCUACGGGAGGCAGCAGUAGGGAAUCUUCGGCAAUGGACGAAAGUCUGACCGAGCAACGCGGCGUGAGUGAAGAAGGUUUCCGGAUCGUAAAACUUUGUUGGUAGAGAAGAACGUUGGUGAGAGUGGAAAGCUCAUCAAGUGACGGAAACUACCCAGAAAGGAAGGGCAAACUACGG
rnacentral:rRNA from 1 species